AAUUUUAGUGUACAUAGAAUUGAAAACGCAAAAAUUCGAUAUGUCAAGCCCAAACAAGCUGUUUUCGAAAUCAGUGCAUGGUUGGCUCGCAGGCAUGAAGGACGAAGUGGUUUUCCACAUCAACCUAUUCCUUAUCACAUUGGCUAUAAUGGUUGUAACACUGCUAGAGAAGGUCUACAACUGCUUUAUAUAUUUGAGCGAGCCCCUUAGAGAGACCGAUGCGUUCUUUAUAACUAUAAUGGACUUUGCACUCCAGGGCGUAGGGUUUAUGUGUGACUGCAUUACUAAAUCGUUGAGAAGAGGAUACAGAUCGACACGUUUAAGGGCUCAACGACGAGCACAACAAGGACAAGCAAGAUCCUUGCGUAGACGAACCAGGAGCUUUGGAGGUUAAGCUAAUGCUAGAUAUUAAUUAAAUAUUUGUUGCAUUUGAAUUCAGAAGUUCGAAAAAAGGGGGAGGGGUGUGGAAAAUGAUCAUGCUGGGGUUUUUCCAACAUCAGCUCUAAAUCUUCAACGCCUUUACUCUACUAGCAUUGCAAUCGAUUGAUCUUGAGCUCCAGAGCUCAGCCAGAGCCCACAAGACACAGGCACGCUGCUGACAAGGGGAAUAUAAAUCAAAUAAACAAACCUCAUUAACAUAUUAUCAGCAUCAAAUUGUGACACGGGACGUCAUCUUAAGUUCAAGUGAGAAAUCUGUCACGAAGCAUUAAGGCGCAACAAUCCACCCAAAACUCCAAACGCCAGCCAGCUCCAGGUUCUUGUCCUGUCAAGCUCAGAUACUCUGUCAACCCUGGGUGGCGGAUGUGACGCGAUGCCGAGUGACUUGCGGUGCGGCUGGCUUCGUCUCUGAGGCGCGAAUUGGUAGCUAUUCCCGGAA